GUCCACGCCGUAAACGAUGGACACUAGGCGUCGGGGGGAGCGACCCCCUCGGUGCCGUCGCUAACGCAGUAAGUGUCCCGCCUGGGGAGUACGGCCGCAAGGCUGAAACUCAAAAGGAAUUGACGGGGGCCCGCACAAGCGGUGGAGCAUGUGGUUUAAUUCGAAGCAACGCGAAGAACCUUACCUGGGCUUGACAUGCUGGUGAAAGCCGGUGGAAACAUCGGCCCCUCUUCGGAGCGCCAGCACAGGUGCUGCAUGGCUGUCGU
rnacentral:rRNA from 1 species